rnacentral:sRNA from 1 species
CACCAGAAGGGUAGCAGCACCGAUCUUGGUGCCGACGCACUCAGAGGUAAACUUCUCGCCCUCCCUUGUCGAUUCAUGCACUCAGGUUCACCGAUUGAAAUAUACCAUACAAGAAAAAUCUUAAAAUCCUAAUGCUUGUGUUGUUUCUUUUGCAUGGACCUGAGAUCCGUUAAAAAAAAAGACGAUGGAACACAGGAAAUCGCAGAUCCAUCAUUUUUGAAAGGCAUCAAGGGCAAACGGACCUGAGUUGUGAGGCUCAGAUCCACUACAUGGAAGUAAGAGAAAAAUGGAAAUGAACUCUUGGACCAAACUGGAUUAAGCAAUGUGGACCCUUCUGCACUCGGACCCGAACUUUAGAAAAUGUAUUAGGAAUUUCGAAAUGGUCUGUAAUUAAUUCAUGGGGUGGGAGUGAGUGGGUCUGAGUGCAGAAGCUUCAUCAGAAUCGCCAUGGUAUGAUCUCUGAAAACCCCGCUUGUUAACUGAUGUGUGCUGUGACUGCUUAGAAACAUGCUUAGGGUUAUAUCUGUUAGAUGUGCAUGAUUAGGGAUGGCCUUAGAAACUUAGUCAUGUAAUGAUAGGUUAGGACCUCAUAUCUGCUCGUUUGCUUUGGAUUUCCGCCUUUCUGCCAUAUGAUACUAGUAGAACUGCUGUGGUUGAUGUCAAUGUAGAAUUGCUGCUGGAUGCAGGAUCCAGCCCUAUAUUAUCCGUCCGGGGCGAUCUCGUUUACCUUGCAUGUUUUGAAAUCAACCUGCAUAUU